UUGCUUUACAGACACCUAUGAUGUGAUUGAACCAUUUCUAGAAGAAUUUCCAAAUCUUUAUGUGGGUUUCACUGCAGUUUUGACAUACCCAUCAGCUUCUUCUGCAAGAGAAGCUGCAAAAAAGAUACCACUGGAAAGACUGAUUGUAGAGACAGAUGCUCCAUACUUCCUUCCCAGACAGGUUCCAAAAAGUACUUGCCAGUUUUCUCAUCCCGGGCUAGCUUUGUACACAAUAAAAGAAAUUGCCAGACUGAAAGCACUGAGUGUAUCUUCUGUUCUCGCUGUACUCAGACAAAAUACGCAUAGCAUAUAUGGAUUGUAGGAGUGAUAGGACUGCAACAUUAUACACUGGCAGAACACUUGCAUUGUUUUUAAUUUAUUGUUAUAUCAUAACCUCGUGUGAGAAUGAAAAUGCUCAGCUCUGUAGAGCAACCCUUUUGGCUUUUCAGUAGAAAGAAUUAUGGUAUGCUAUCACAGCUGCAAACCACUUAACGAACUCUAGACUGCAGAGCUUGAAAUGAGCAGUGUUGCACUGCUUAUGACUGGACUUGCUUUUGAAUAUGCUCUGCGAGUACUCCACUCUGGAAGUUUGUAUAUGGAAACCAUUGAAUACUGAUUGAAAUAUACCAUUUUUUUCACAGGAUUUUCAGUGCAUUCAGCUACCUCGAGCUCCUAUACAUAUCAGUCUGAAAUAUGAAAGUUUACUAACUGAAAUGUCUUGUUAACAUCUUCCCUUAAUAUAACAUCAGGAAACCAUAUUUGAAUAUAAAUUACCUUUUGAGACUGGUUUGUUUCAUUGUAAUGGAGCAUCCAAAAAGAUUAUUGCAUGCAGAGAAGUAAGAAUUUUCACCACAGCAGCAGCUGCAUAUACCAUGCCACCUUUCUUGAACUGCUAAUUGUUGAGAGCCCACUGCAGAUACUUUUAAGUUAUUUCUGCAUCAUUCAGGGGAACUCAAAAUAUUGUAUACACAGCAAUGCUGACACUAGUCAUCCAGUUUGACUGCACCUUUAAGUCAAUGAGGUGAAUAGCUUUUUCGUGGGGUAUAGAAAUAGGAAAAUGUCCUUUUUAAUUGGUUAACUAUCAUGAGAAACUUGCUUUCACUGUUUUUUUAAGUUAGUUUUGAAUGUGUUCUUUAAAAUGCUUUUAUUUUCUGCUUUAUAGCUAUUGUUUCUAAGCUAAGUUCAGAUUUUUUUAAUGUGGCACAGAUUUUCAUUAUGUUUUUAAUAUGUUGAGUUGGUCUUUAAACAGAAUAAUGUGUGCAAGAAAUGGUGUACCAUUGGUUUAUGUGAGGAUAGAAUAGUAGAUGAGUAAAGUAACUUUUGUAAGAUAGGAGACUUUCUAUCCUUUUCAAAUUGUCCAUAAACAUUCCUUUUGCUGCGGAGAGGAAAGCCAACUCUGUUAUGUUCUGUUUCAUGUGUGCUUGUGUACUUUUUGUCACCACUUGCACCUCAGCAUUUUGCAAGAGGAGCAUAAUGUUAUAUGCAUACCAGAGUAGAAGAAUGCACUUUAGUUUAAAAUUUCAAAGUAAGUGCUGAUUUAGCGUGCAGAGUAGCAGUAGUGUCUGUGUUCACUGCAGUGGUGAGCCAUGUCCUGGUAAACUAUUUUGUAGUUACUUUGUAUUGUGCCAUAUUUUAAAAGUAAGAUGCAAUGAAAUUUUGAGAAGUUGCUGUACAGAAAGUUUGCGUCUCAUAUUAAUAAAACUGAAGUAAGGUUGCAUUGUUCCAUGUA